UACGAAGGGGGCUAGCGUUGCUCGGAAUUACUGGGCGUAAAGGGCGCGUAGGCGGACAGUUUAGUCAGAGGUAAAAGCCCAGGGCUCAACCUUGGAACUGCCUUUGAUACUGACUGUCUUGAGUUCGGGAGAGGUGAGUGGAACUGCGAGUGUAGAGGUGAAAUUCGUAGAUAUUCGCAAGAACACCAGUGGCGAAGGCGGCUCACUGGCCCGAUACUGACGCUGAGGCACGAAAGCGUGGGGAGCAAACAGG
rnacentral:rRNA from 1 species